rnacentral:misc_RNA from 1 species
AGCAGCCGCGGUAAUUCCAGCUCCAAUAGCGUAUAUUAAAGUUGUUGCAGUUAAAAAGCUCGUAGUUGAAUUUCGGGAUUGACGUGAUGGUCAUGCCUUAAGGGGUAUGAACUGUUACUGUUGAUUUCUCACCUUCUGGAGAAACUUGAUGUCCUUUAUUGGGUGUCUUGCGGAUCCAGGACCUUUACCUUGAAAAAUUAGAGUGUUUAAAGCAGGCAUUUUUGCUCGAAUACAUUAGCAUGGAAUAAUAGAAUAGGACGGCAUGGUUCUAUUUUGUUGGUUCUAGGACCACCGUAAUGAUUAAUAGGGAUAGUUGGGGGCAUUAGUAUUCAAUUGUCAGAGGUGAAAUUCUUGGAUUUAUUGAAGACUAACUACUGCGAAAGCAUUUGCCAAGGAUGUUUUCAUUAAUCAAAGAACGAAAGUUAGGGGAUCGAAGACGAUCAGAUACCGUCGUAGUCUUAACCAUAAACUAUGCCGACUAGGAAUCAGACCGAUAGUUAAUUUUUAAUGUACUCGUUUU